GACGAACCGUGCGAACGUUGUUCGGAAUCACUGGGCUUAAAGGGCGCGUAGGCGGGCCUCCAAGUCCGGGGUGAAAUCCUCCGGCUCAACCGGAGAACUGCCUCGGAUACUGGAGGCCUCGAGGCGGGUAGGGGCAUGCGGAACUGUGGGUGGAGCGGUGAAAUGCGUUGAUAUCCACAGGAACUCCGGUGGCGAAGGCGGCAUGCUGGACCCGAUCUGACGCUGAGGCGCGAAAGCCAGGGGAGCAAACGGG
rnacentral:rRNA from 1 species